UCAACAACGGAUCUCUUGGUUCUGGCAUCGAUGAAGAACGCAGCGAAAUGCGAUAAGUAAUGUGAAUUGCAGAAUUCAGUGAAUCAUCGAAUCUUUGAACGCACAUUGCGCCCUUUGGUAUUCCGAAGGGCAUGCCUGUUCGAGCGU
rnacentral:rRNA from 1 species